rnacentral:rRNA from 1 species
CCCUUAGAUGUCCGGGGCUGCACGCGCGCUACACUGAAGGAAUCAGCGUGCUAAAACCAUUGUCGAAAGGCAUUGGUAAACCCAUUAAAAUCCUACGUGAUUGGGAUCGGGAAUUGCAAUUAUUUCCCUUGAACGAGGAAUUCCCAGUAAGUGUGGGUCAUAAGCUCGCGUUGAUUACGUCCCUGCCCUUUGUACACACCACCCGUCGCUGCCCGGGACUGAGCCGUUUCGAGAAAAGCGGGGACUGCUGCUGUCGGGGCUUUCGGGCCUUGGCUUCGGUGGAAACCGCUUUAAUCGCAGUGGCUUGAACCGGGCAAAAGUCGUAACA